rfam:Crinalium epipsammum PCC 9333, complete genome.
GGUCAAGAUAAUAAGGGCUGAUGGUGGAUACCUAGGCACACAGAGGCGAAGAAGGACGUGAUUACCGACGAAACGCUCCGGGGAGUUGGAAGUAAACAUUGAGCCGGAGAUGUCCGAAUGGGGCAACCCUUUAUACAACCUGUUGAAUCCAUAGACAGGUAUGAGCCAACCCAGCGAAUUGAAACAUCUUAGUAGCUGGAGGAAAAGAAAUCAACAGAGAUUCCCUUAGUAGCGGCGAGCGAAGCGGGAACAGCCUAAACCACGAAGUAUAUCUUUGUGGGGUAGUGGGACAACAGAUACAAGACCCAUGAAGCUAAACGAAGCAGCCUGAUUGCUGCACCAGAGAAGGUGAAAGUCCUGUAGUUGAAAGUGAAUUGGGCUUAGUUGCAUCCCGAGUAGCACGGGUCACGAGAAAUCCCGUGUGAAUCAGCGAGGACCAUCUCGUAAGGCUAAAUACUCCUGUGUGACCGAUAGUGAACAAGUACCGCGAGGGAAAGGUGAAAAGAACCCCGCAAGGGGAGUGAAAUAGAACAUGAAACCAUCAGCUUACAAGCAAUGGGAGGACGAUUAAACGUCUGACCGUGUGCCUGUUGAAGAAUGAGCCGGCGACUUAUAGGCACUGGUAGGUUAAGGUAAGAUUUACCGCAGCCAUAGCGAAAGCGAGUCUGAAUAGGGCGUUUAAUCAGUGUUUAUAGACCCGAACCCGGGUGAUCUAACCAUGUCCAGGAUGAAGCUUGGGUAACACCAAGUGGAGGUCCGAACCGACCGAUGUUGAAAAAUCGGCGGAUGAGGUGUGGUUAGGGGUGAAAUGCCAAUCGAACCCGGAGCUAGCUGGUUCUCCCCGAAAUGUGUUUAGGCGCAGCGGCUGAGAUUAAUAUCUGGGGGUAAAGCACUGUUUCGGUGCGGGCUGCCUCAAGCGGUACCAAAUCGAGACAAACUCAGAAUACCAGAUUGUAUACUCAGCCAGUGAGACGGUGGGGGAUAAGCUUCAUCGUCAAGAGGGAAACAGCCCAGACCACCAGCUAAGGUCCCCAAAUGGUCACUAAGUGAUUAAGGAGGUGGGAGUGCAUUGACAACCAGGAGGUUUGCCUAGAAGCAGCCACCCUUGAAAGAGUGCGUAAUAGCUCACUGGUCAAGCGCUCCUGCGCCGAAAAUGAACGGGGCUAAGUGACAUACCGAAGCUGUGGGAUUAGGAAUAAUCGGUAGGGGAGCGUUCCGAGGAGGGUGAAGCACUAGCGGCAAGCAGGUGUGGACGAAUCGGAAGUGAGAAUGUCGGCUUGAGUAGCGCAAAUAUUGGUGAGAAUCCAAUACCCCGAAACCCCAAGGGUUCCAGAGCCAGGCUCGUCCACUCUGGGUUAGUCAGGACCUAAGGCGAGGCAGAAGUGCGUAGUCGAUGGACAACGGGUGAACAUUCCCGUACCGUUAAUUGUUUGUGCAGAGGGACGGAGCAGGUGAUGACCAGCCGGAGAUUGGUAGUUCCGGUGUAAGUUCUCAAGGCGUUGAAGUUUGGAGAAAACAGACUGAGCCGAGAAGCGAAUCCGACUCCCCACGGGGAGGAAGUGGUACAUCGUCAUACUUCCAAGAAAAGCUCAUAUGUACGUUAAGCAAUUAAUGCUUGUACCCGAAACCGACACAGGUGGGGAGGUUGAGAAAACUCAGGGGCGCGAGAUAACUCUCUCUAAGGAACUCGGCAAAAUGACCCCGUAACUUCGGGAGAAGGGGUGCCCACCUCAGACGUGGGUCGCAGUGAAGAGGCCCAAGCGACUGUUUACCAAAAACACAGGUCUCCGCUAACGAGUAAUCGGAUGUAUGGGGGCUGACACCUGCCCAGUGCCGGAAGGUUAAGGAAGUCGGUCAGGGGGAAACCCUAAAGCUGGCGACUGAAGCCCCGGUGAACGGCGGCCGUAACUAUAACGGUCCUAAGGUAGCGAAAUUCCUUGUCGGGUAAGUUCCGACCCGCACGAAAGGUGUAACGAUUUGGGCGCUGUCUCGGAGAGAGACUCGGCGAAAUAGGAUUGUCUGUGAAGAUACGGACUACCUGCACCUGGACAGAAAGACCCUAUGAAGCUUUACUGUAGCCUGGAAUUGGUUUCGGGCUUCGCUUGCGCAGGAUAGGUGGGAGGCGUGGAAACUUUCCUUGUGGGGAAAGUUGAGCCAACGGUGAGAUACCACUCUGGCGAAGCUAGAAUUCUAACCUGUACCCGUAAUCCGGGGAUGGGAACAGUUUCAGGUGGGCAGUUUGACUGGGGCGGUCGCCUCCUAAAAGGUAACGGAGGCGCGCAAAGGUUCCCUCAGGCUGGUUGGAAAUCAGCUGUUGAAGUGCAAAGGCAUAAGGGAGCUUGACUGCGAGAGUGACAACUCCAGCAGGGACGAAAGUCGGCCUUAGUGAUCCGACGGUGCCGCGUGGAAGGGCCGUCGCUCAACGGAUAAAAGUUACUCUAGGGAUAACAGGCUGAUCUCCUCCAAGAGUUCACAUCGACGAGGAGGUUUGGCACCUCGAUGUCGGCUCAUCGCAACCUGGGGCGGAAGUACGUCCCAAGGGUUGGGCUGUUCGCCCAUUAAAGCGGUACGUGAGCUGGGUUCAGAACGUCGUGAGACAGUUCGGUCCAUAUCCGGUGCAGGCGUAAGAGCAUUGCGAGGAGCCUUCCUUAGUACGAGAGGACCGGGAAGGACGCACCUCUGGUGUACCUGUUAUCGUGCCAACGGUAAACGCAGGGUAGCCAUGUGCGGAGCGGAUAACCGCUGAAAGCAUCUAAGUGGGAAGCCCACCUCCAGAUGAGUGCUCUCACUACUAUAUGUAGGUAAGGUCACGAGCAGAACACUCGUUGAUAGACGUUAGGUCGAAGCUCAGUAAUGAGUGCAGCCAAGACGCACUAAUAGACCGAGGGCUUGACCUC